UCCGGGGUCGUCUAGCUGGAAGGACGCGAGGUUCUGAUCCUCGAAACGCGGGUUCGACUCCUGCCCCCGGAA
rnacentral:tRNA from 1 species